rnacentral:rRNA from 1 species
GAUGAACGCUGGCGGCGUGCCUAAUACAUGCAAGUCGAGCGAACAGACGAGGAGCUUGCUCCUCUGACGUUAGCGGCGGACGGGUGAGUAACACGUGGAUAACCUACCUAUAAGACUGGGAUAACUUCGGGAAACCGGAGCUAAUACCGGAUAAUAUAUUGAACCGCAUGGUUCAAUAGUGAAAGACGGUUUUGCUGUCACUUAUAGAUGGAUCCGCGCCGCAUUAGCUAGUUGGUAAGGUAACGGCUUACCAAGGCAACGAUGCGUAGCCGACCUGAGAGGGUGAUCGGCCACACUGGAACUGAGACACGGUCCAGACUCCUACGGGAGGCAGCAGUAGGGAAUCUUCCGCAAUGGGCGAAAGCCUGACGGAGCAACGCCGCGUGAGUGAUGAAGGUCUUCGGAUCGUAAAACUCUGUUAUUAGGGAAGAACAAAUGUGUAAGUAACUAUGCACGUCUUGACGGUACCUAAUCAGAAAGCCACGGCUAAGUACGUG